UAUAAGUAAUCUACCUAUGGGAAAGGGGAUAACCUUGAGAAAUUGGGGCUAAUACCAGUAUAAUGCAGCGGCACCGCAUGGUGAUGUUGUUAAAGUAAUUUAUUACGCCUAUAGAUGAGCUUGUAGUCGAUUAGUUUGUUGGUAAGGUAAAGGCUUACCAAGACUACGAUCGAUAGCUGGUCUGAGAGGAUGAUCAGCCACCACUGGAACUGAGACACGGUCCAG
rnacentral:rRNA from 1 species